rnacentral:rRNA from 1 species
UGGGGAAUAUUGCGCAAUGGACGAAAGUCUGACGCAGCAACGCCGCGUGGGUGAUGAAGGCCUUCGGGUUGUAAAGCCCUGUCGACAGGGAAAAAUGUCCUGCAUGCUAAUAUCAUGCAGGAGUGAUGGUACCUGUAAAGGAAGCACCGGCUAACUCCGUGCCAGCAGCCGCGGUAAAACGGAGGGUGCAAGCGUUGUUCGGAAUUACUGGGCGUAAAGCGCGUGCAGGUGGCUAUUUAAGUCUUGUGUGAAAUCCCUCGGCUCAACCGAGGAACUGCGCGAGAUACUGGAUAGCUUGAAUACGGGAGAAGAGGGCGGAAUUCCCAGUGUAGAGGUGAAAUUCGUAGAUAUUGGGAGGAACACCGGCGGCGAAAGCGGCUCUCUAGACCGAUAUUGACGCUCAUACGCGAGAGCGUGGGUAGCAAACAGG